rnacentral:tRNA from 1 species
UCCCUGGUGGCUCAGACAAUAAAGAAUCUGCCUGCAAAGCAGGAGACCCAGGUUCAAUUCCUGGUCAGGAAG